GUGCCAGCCGCCGCGGUAAUACCGGCAGCCCGAGUGAUGGCCGAUCUUAUUGGGCCUAAGGCGUCCGUAGCUGGCCGCACAAGUCCAUCGGAAAAUCCACCCGCCCAAACGGGUGGGCGUCCGGUGGAAACUGUGUGGCUUGGGGCCGGAAGGCGCGACGGGUACGUCCGGGGUAGGAGUGAAAUCCUGUAAUCCUGGACGGACCGCCGAUGGCGAAAGCACGUCGCGAGGACGGAUCCGACAGUGAGGGACGAAAGCCAGGGUCUCGAACCGGAUUAGAUACCCCCGUAGUCC
rnacentral:rRNA from 1 species